GGAUGAACGCUGGCGGCGUGCCUAACACAUGCAAGUCGAACGGAGAUUAUAAUAGCUUGCUAAUAUAAUCUUAGUGGCGGACGGCUGAGUAACACGUGGAUAACCUGCCCAUAGCACAGGGAUAACACUUAGAAAUAGGUGCUAAUACCUGAUAAGCUCACACGAAGGCAUCUGAGGGUGAGAAAAGAUUAUAUCGGCAAUGGAUGGGUCCGCGGCCUAUUAGCUAGUUGGUGGGGUAAAGGCCUACCAAGGCGACGAUAGGUAGCCGGAUUGAGAGAUUGAACGGCCAGAUUGGAACUGAGAACGGUCCAGACUUCUACGGAAGGCAGCAGUGGGGAAUAUUGCACAAUGGGGGGAACCCUGAUGCAGCAACGCCGCGUGAGGGAGGAAGUAUUUCGGUAUGUAAACCUCUAUCGAUUGGGAAGAAAAAAAUGACGGUACCAAAGUAAGAAGAACCGGCUAAAUACGUGCCAGCAGCCGCGGUAAUACGUAUGGUUCAA
rnacentral:rRNA from 1 species